ensembl:lncRNA
GAAACAAACAAAGAAACAAACAAAGAAGCAAACAAAAAAACAAAAAAACAAAGAAGCAAACAAAAAAACAAAAAAACAAAGAAGCAAACAAAAAAACAAAGAAACAAACAAAGAAACAAAAUAGUAUAAAAUUAUUCUUCACCUAAUAAACUCCGUUUCGAGCUUAGCGUUACACUUAGCCUUUUUUUUUUUAUACAAAACACUAAAAAUUUUAAAAGGUGCAUAUAUGUAUCAUUAAUACUGUAUUGUGAAAAAUAUUAUUUCAGUUUGUUACCAUGUCAAGCCUGGAUUUGUCAAACACAGAUAGUUUUAGGAAGAAGAAGAAAAAGAAAAAGAAGAAAAAAAAAAAAUCGAAAAAUCCGCAUAAAAACAAUGGUGUUAGAAAAAAGCAAAAAUAUAUUAUUACAUUAAAAUAGGAUCAAUAAAAUUUUUAUAUAUAUGUAUAUAUGUGCGUAUGUAUGUGCAUAUAUAUAUUUGCGUAUAUACACGUUUAUACAUUUAUAUGUUUAUUUAUGGCUAUUUUAUACAGAAGGUAAAAAAUUGGUGAAUAAAAAAAAAAAUGAGGAAGAAAAUGAACAAACUUACAAAGAACAGAUAGAAGAAUUAGUAGCCUUAAAUCUUAUUUAUUUUCCGAUUUAUAUAGAAAACCCAGGGCAUAUAGAUAAAGCACACCUUCCAAACGACCUAAUGAGCGAUGAUGUUUUUUUAAAAAAUAGUAAAGAACUAUCAUCGGUCAUAAAAAUUGAUAUGAAUGAUGAAAUAAAUACUAGUACGUGUUUAAAUUUUUGUAUUUUUUUUAAUUUUGAUAAUAAUUUAAAAAAAUAUAAAGUAACUUUUUUUUGUGAUAACAAAUAUCCAUACUCUUAUCCGAAUAUAAACAUAUAUUUAAGCAAUGAGUUAGCUGAAAAUGUAAUCAAUUUUAUUACAUAUAAUAUAAAAAAAAUAUGUGCCAUGAAUUAUGGUAGGAUAACGCUAUUUGACGUUUGUAUAUUUUUAAAUGAUAAUGUUAAUAAAACACUUAGCACUAUUCAGUAUGAAAGCUUAUGGGAAGAAAUGAACAACAGAAUAGAUGACAAAUGUAGGAAUAUGAAAAAUAUACAAAGGGAAAGGGGAAAAAUCUGUAUGUUUGGUAGCUACACAGGGAAUAACCCUAACAAUAAUUCGAACAAUAAUAAUACUUAUUUCGAAAAAGAGGAACUACUUUUUGAUACAACCUGUGAAAAAAAACAAAAUUCACACAUGAACGUACUACACGAAAAUGAAUACUAUAUUGAAAAAACUGAUGGGAUGAUGGAUAAAGAAAUUGAUUUUGAAAAAAAGGAAGAUCAUGGAAAAAUGACUUAUGUAACAAAUAUAAAUGUUAACGUUAGUAGUGAUAAUGAUAGUAAUAAUAUGUUGGGUACAUAUAAUAUGCAUGAGAAAAGAAGCAUAGAUGAUGAUAAAUGUUUUUGGGAUAUGCACAACUUUAAUAAUUUGACUGGGUUUGGUACUAUAAAUAAUUGUUUACUAAAUAUACAUUCUCGAAUAAAAAAAAAAAAUAAACAUUCAAAAAAAGUUGAUAAUAAUAAUGACAAUAAUAACAAUAAUGACAAUAAUAAUAAUGGCAAUAAUAAUGAUGGCAAUUUGUCACUAUUGAAUGAAAAAGAAUUAAAUUCAAAAACGUUUUUAAACAAAUUAAAAAAUAAAAGAAUGAUAAGAUAUGAAUAUAAUAAUAUUCAUAAUUUUGAUAUUAUAAAAAAAUAUAUAAUAAAUGAUUAUAGAAAUGUAUUAAUAGCUCGACAUAUCGUCGAUACCAAUGUUUAUAUGAUACAUACAUAUACAAUUUUAAGUUCUUUUCAUUUUUUUAUGUUUUUUAUUGCCCAUACUUUGUUUUGCAAUAGAGGUUUUAACUUGUUCAUUAAUAUUAUGAACAAUAGUAUUGAGAAAAGUAAUAGGCAGAAAAAAAAACUAAAAAAUGCAAAACUAUUUAAUGAAUUUAUAAAUGAUAUAAACUGUAUAAACUUUACUGAUGGAGGUUAUACUGGGAAAAACAAACCACUAUAUACAAUUGUAGAUUCUCAUAAAAAAAAAAAAACAAACAAACAAACAAAAAUAAAUUACCAUUCUUCGUUUAUAAGCUUUUUCUGUAGUGAAUACCAGUUUUACGCAAAAAAAAGUUGUAUAGUUAAUCAAAAAAAUGAAAACAGUUUGUACCAUAUUAUUAAACAUUUGAAUUCAACCCGAUUUAAAAAAAUUAUUUACCAUUACAAAAUGAUACAAAAAAUAAAUUUAAAAAAAAUAAUUCGGGAGUUAAUAAAGUUGUCCAAAGUACAACAUAAGUAUCUAAUUAGGUAUCAUAUGUCUUGGUCAGAAAGGGAAACUAGGUUGGACAGUGACAUUGGAAAUGGACAAAUUGGAAAUGAAAAAAUUGGAAAUGAAAAAAUUGGAAAUGGACAAAUUGGAAAUGAAAAAAUUGGAAAUG